AAUUCAUGAUGAAAUAAUAUUAUACCAUCUUUCGACUGAAAAAAAUUGAUGUUAAUUCUUUACUGAUAAUACUC